rnacentral:rRNA from 1 species
AGUGAACGCUGGCGGCAGGCCUAACACAUGCAAGUCGAACGGCAGCACAGUAAGAGCUUGCUCUUACGGGUGGCGACUGGCGGACGGGUGAGGAAUACAUCGGAUUCUACUUUUUCGUGGGGGAUAACGUAGGGAAACUUACGCUAAUACCGCAUACGACCUACGGGUGAAAGCAGGGGAUCUUCGGACCUUGCGCGACUGAAUGAGCCGAUGUCGGAUUAGCUAGUUGGCGGGGUAAAGGCCCACCAAGGCGACGAUCCGUAGCUGGUCUGAGAGGAUGAUCAGCCACACUGGAACUGAGACACGGUCCAGACUCCUACGGGAGGCAGCAGUGGGGAAUAUUGGACAAUGGGCGCAAGCCUGAUCCAGCCAUGCCGCGUGGGUGAAGAAGGCCUUCGGGUUGUAAAGCCCUUUUGUUGGGAAAGAAAAGCAGCAGGUUAAUACCCCGCUGUUCUGACGGUACCCAAAGAAUAAGCACCGGCUAACUUCGUG